UACGGGGGGGGCAAGCGUUGUUCGGAAUCAUUGGGCGUAAAGGGCGCGUAGGCGGCCGAUCAAGUCGGAGGUGAAAUCCCUCGGCUCAACUGAGGAAUUGCCUCCGAUACUGUUCGGCUUGAGUCCUGGAGAGGGUAGUGGAAUUCCCAGUGUAGCGGUGAAAUGCGUAGAGACUGGGAAGAACACCAGUGGCGAAGGCGGCUACCUGGACAGGUACUGACGCUGAAGCGCGAAAGCUAGGGGAGCAAACAGG
rnacentral:rRNA from 1 species